UGGGGUCAAUAAGCCUGCUUACUAUUCCAU
rnacentral:piRNA from 1 species